rnacentral:rRNA from 1 species
UACGUAGGGGGCAAGCGUUGUCCGGAAUCAUUGGGCGUAAAGCGCGUGUAGGCGGCUCAGUAAGUCCGCUCUGAAAGCCCGGGGCUUAACCCCGGGAGGCGGGUGGAUACUGCUGAGCUUGAGUCCGGAAGAGGCGAGUGGAAUUCCCGGUGUAGCGGUGAAAUGCGCAGAUAUCGGGAGGAACACCAAUGGCGAAGGCAGCUCGCUGGGACGUUACUGACGCUGAGACGCGAAAGCGUGGGGAGCAAACAGG